GACGAACGCUGGCGGCGUGCCUAAUACAUGCAGGUAGAACGCUGAAGGAGGAGCUUGCUUCUCUGGAUGAGUUGCGAGCGGGUGAGUAACGCGUAGGUAACCUGCCUGGUAGCGGGGGAUAACUAUUGGAAACGAUAGCUAAUACCGCAUAAGAUUGACUAUUGCAUGAUAGUCAGUUAAAAGGUGCAAUUGCAUCACUACCAGAUGGACCUGCGUUGUAUUAGCUAGUUGGUGGGGUAACGGCUCACCAAGGCGACGAUACAUAGCCGACCUGAGAGGGUGAUCGGCCACACUGGGACUGAGACACGGCCCAGACUCCUACGGGAGGCAGCAGUAGGGAAUCUUCGGCAAUGGACGGAAGUCUGACCGAGCAACGCCGCGUGAGUGAAGAAGGUUUUCGGAUCGUAAAGCUCUGUUGUAAGAGAAGAACGAGUGUGAGAGUGGAAAGUUCACACUGUGACGGUAUCUUACCAGAAAGGGACGGCUAACUACGUG
rnacentral:rRNA from 1 species